GGGAUUGCCCUAGUAACGGCGAGUGAAGCGGCAACAGCUCAAAUUUGAAAUCUGGCUCUUUCAGAGUCCGAGUUGUAAUUUGCAGAGGGCGCUUUGGCAUUAGCAGCGGUCCAAGUUCCUUGGAACAGGUCGUCACAGAGGGUGAGAACCCCGUACGUGGCUACUGGCCUUCGCCGUGUAAAACCCCUUCGACGAGUCGAGUUGUUUGGGAAUGCAGCUCUAAAUGGGAGGUAAAUUUCUUCUAAAGCUAAAUACUGGCCAGAGACCGAUAGCGCACAAGUAGAGUGAUCGAAAGAUGAAAAGCACUUUGGAAAGAGAGUCAAAAAGCACGUGAAAUUGUUGAAAGGGAAGCGCUUGCAGCCAGACUUGCCUGUAGUUGCUCAUCCGAGCUUUUGUUCGGUGCACUCUUCUAUAGGCAGGCCAGCAUCAGUUCGGGCGGUCGGAUAAAGGCUCUGGGAAUGUAGCUCCCCUCGGGGAGUGUUAUAGCCCAGGGUGUCAUGCGACCAGUCUGGACUGAGGUCCGCGCAUCUGCUAGGAUGCUGGCAUAAUGGCUGUAAGCGG
rnacentral:rRNA from 1 species